UACGUAGGGGGCAAGCGUUGUCCGGAUUUAUUGGGCGUAAAGAGCGUGUAGGCGGUCAGGUAGGUCCGUUGUGAAAACUCGAGGCUCAACCUCGAGACGCCGAUGGAAACCAUCUGACUAGAGUUCGGUAGGGGAGUGUGGAAUUCCUGGUGGAGCGGUGAAAUGCGCAGAUAUCAGGAGGAACACCCGUAGCGAAGGCGGCACUCUGGGCCGGAACUGACGCUGAGGAGCGAAAGCGUGGGGAGCGAACAGG
rnacentral:rRNA from 1 species